CUGGGCCAGGCCACACUCGUGCAAAACAUUGGCCUCAGCCAGGCCCGUGGGAUACGGCCAAAAGGCGCGUUCCACGCGAGCCAGGCUGCGCUCGGCCACUCGCGCUCUCCUCGUGCUAGGGUUUCGCCGCCGCCUCCUCUCCCCUCCCAUCUCUCCCUCUCACGUCUCUUCUCCCCCUCGAGCUCUCCGUCGAGGUCCCCCCCCCCCCCCCCCCGCGAGCAAGCUUUCGCGUCUCGUCUCCCCCGCGGCGAGCUCUCGCGUCUUCUCUCCCUCGCGUUCGAGCUCUCGCGUCUCCUCCCUCUCGCUGUUGUGACACUCCUUCCAGCUAUGGCUGACAUGGUCUCUGAGGUUGCUGGUCAGGGGGCUAGGCCUGCUCUUAGGUGGACUGCUGUAAUGUCUAGGUUUGUUCUCCGUCGUUUUGUUGACUUGAUAGGAAAUGGGGUUAAGACUGACAAGGGUUUUAAGGAAAUCCACCUUAACUCUGUUGCUAAAAAUGUAUCUGAGUUCUGUGGCCAAGAAGUAACAGGCCAACAAGUGUACAAUCACCUUCGUAAGUGGAGGUCUAGGUGGGUCAAGGUUUGCAAACUGAAGGACAUUAGUGGCGCUCUUUGGGAUGAGGAUAACUUUGUCAUAAGCUUAGAAGAGGGUCAUUAUGCUGCUUACAUCAAGGAUCACCCAAAAUAUGCUGAUUACCUCAAUAGGCCCAUAGAGAACUAUAUGCCUAUGCAAAUCAUAUUUGGAAGUGGGGUUGCCACAGGUAAGUUUGCAAUGGGUUCAAAUGAGCCUUUGGGCAAGCCAACUGACAUUGUUGACAUCCUAGAUGAUGGCAUUGAAGUGACCUCAAAUUUUGUUGAUUGUUCCAAUCUAACUAACAAGGGGAAGACUGUUGACAAGGGUACCCCUGGUGAGUCCAAUGAUAACAAGCCUAACUUAGGGAAGAGGAAGAGGUUCAUGACUGAUGAGGAUGUUGUUGUGUUCAAUGGGAUGAAACAAGCUGUUUCAGAUGUUGCUGCUGCUGUCCGUGAAAGCAUCCAUGCUGAAGCAGCACCUGAGAUCUACAAUGUUGUAAUCAACUGUCCUGGGUUCUCUAGGGAGGCUCUCAUGUAUGCCCUAAACCACAUGAUGGAGCACAAGGCCACCUCCCUGGUGUUCCUGGACAUGACUCCUGAUGAUCGUGACCUAUGGCUCAAGACUUUCCUAGCCAAGCACUACCACAACUGA
rnacentral:misc_RNA from 1 species